rnacentral:rRNA from 1 species
CUUGUAGGCGGUCUAUUAAGUCGGUUGUGAAAUCCCAAAGCUCAACUUUGGAAUUGCAGCCGAUACUGGUAGACUUGAGUAUAGGAGAGGAUGGCGGAAUUCCAUGUGUAGCGGUGAAAUGCGUAGAUAUAUGGAGGAACACCGGUGGCGAAGGCGGCUAUCUGGACUAUAACUGACGCUGAUGAGCGAAAGCGUGGGGAGCAAACA